GACGUAGGUGGCAAGCGUUGUCCGGAUUUACUGGGCGUAAAGAGCGCGCAGGCGGUCGGAUAAGUCGAAUGUGAAAGCCCCUGGCUCAACCAGGGAGGGUCAUUCGAUACUGUUCGACUCGAAGGCAGGAGAGGGAAGUGGAAUUCCGGGUGUAGUGGUGAAAUGCGUAGAUAUCAGGAAGAACACCCGUGGCGAAGGCGGCUCUCUGGGACGGUACUGACGCUGAGACGCGAAAGCGUGGGGAGCGAACAGG
rnacentral:rRNA from 1 species